GGAGAGGUGGCCGAGCGGCUGAAGGCAACCGCUUGCUAAGCGGUUAUACGGCUAACCCCGUAUCAAGGGUUCGAAUCCCUUCCUCUCCG
rnacentral:tRNA from 1 species